rnacentral:rRNA from 1 species
AAAGGCAUAGCCAAAGCACCAGCAAGCUAUCCUCACCAACUUAUGCCUCAAACUCAAUAAAUAACUAGUUCAACACAUCGCCUUAGAAAAAGGCA